UACGUAGGGUGCGAGCGUUGUCCGGAAUUAUUGGGCGUAAAGAGCUCGUAGGCGGUGUGUCGCGUCGGCCGUGAAAACCUGGGGCUCAACUCUGGGCGUGCGGUCGAUACGGGCAUCACUUGAGUUCGGCAGGGGAGACUGGAAUUCCUGGUGUAGCGGUGAAGUGCGCAGAUAUCAGGAGGAACACCGGUGGCGAAGGCGGGUCUCUGGGCCGAUACUGACGCUGAGGAGCGAAAGCGUGGGGAGCAAACAGG
rnacentral:rRNA from 1 species